ACCCCGCCGUGUGGAUGCGCGUGAAUUCAUUCCAGCCGGCCCAAACUGGAAUUUCAGCUGGACAGAAGGGCCUGCUUCAGCUGUCCAGUGUGGAAAAAAGCCGCGGCGCGUUGUGGUUUCAUAAUCAUCCCAGCAGCAGAUGCGCUAAGUGUGCAGGGCGUGGCAGGCCUGCCCUGAGACCCGGUCUCAGCACCGCACUUCAGCAGGGACUGGCAACUGACUGUUGGGCCACAUACCCAAAGUCUUCUAGCCGAUAACCAGAUAACAUCCUGGAUUAAUCCCGAGCUUUUUCCUCUCCCGAGACGUUCCUGUCGCCAGCCGCCUGCACUCCGCAUCGGCCAGACUGAUUUCAGGUGAGCACUCCCCGGAGAACUUUUCGCACUGGGCAGCCCCAGUGGAAUGUUCUCCCCGUCUGCGUGGGUCUGUGCAUUUUCACGUCCUUAGGACCGCCCAGGGCAGGGUUCUUUCUGGGCAAACCUGCGCCCACAAAAUCUCUCACGUUCUUUGGGUUCGGAUAGCCCAAAGCAGAGAUUUUUGGGACCGCCCACACUGAAAGAAUGCCUCACUUCCC
rnacentral:lncRNA from 1 species